ensembl:snRNA U6 U6 spliceosomal RNA
AUGCUCGCUUGGGCAGCACAUAUACUAGAAGUGGAAUGAAACAGAGAUUAGUGUGGGCCCGGCGCAAGGAUGACCCGAAAAUGAGCCAAUCUGAUAGGAGUGUA